GAGGCGAAGGCGGCUCACUGGACUGUAACUGACGUUGAGGCUCGAAAGCGUGGGGAGCAAACAGGAUUAGAUAUCCUGGUAGUCCACGCCCUAAACGAUGGAUACUAGACGAGGGUGGCUUGCCCAUCCGUGUCGUAGCUAACGCAUUAAGUAUCCCGCCUGUGGAGUACGGCCGCAAGGUUAAAACAUAAAGAAAUUGACGGGUCCCCGCACAAGCAGCGGAGCAUGUGGUUUAAUUCGAUGCAACGCGAAGAACCUUACCAAGACUUGACAUUGCGUGACAGCCUGUGAAAGCAGGCCUCCCUUCGGGGCACAAAAACAGAUGGUGCAUGGUCGUCGUCAGCUCGUGCCGUGAGGUGUUCGGUUAAGUCCGUCAACGAGCGCAACCCUUAUUUCUAGUUACCAAUAUUAAGUUAGGGACUCUGGAAAGACUGCCGUGGAUAACACGGAGGAAGGUGGGGAUGAUGUCAGAUCAUCAUGCCUCUUACGUCUUGGGCUACACACGUGCUACAAUGGGCGCCACAAAGAGUUGCAAAGCCGCAAGGCCCAGCCAAUCUCAAAAAAGCGCUCUCAGUUCGGAUUGUGGGCUGCAACCCGCCCACAUGAAGUUGGAGUUGCUAGUAAUCCCGAAUCAGCACGUCGGGGUGAAUGCGUUCCCGGGGAUUGUACACACCGCCCGUCAAGCCAUGGGAGUUGGGGGUACUCGAAGUCGGUCACGCCAACCUGCAAAGGAAGCGUCCGCCUAAGGUAAAACCAAUGACUGGGGUUAAGUCGUAACAAGGUAGCCCUACGAGAACGUGGGGCUGGAUCACCUCCUUUAAGGAA
rnacentral:rRNA from 1 species